AGAGUUUGAUCCUGGCUCAGGAUGAACGCUGGCGGCGUGCCUAAUACAUGCAAGUCGAACGCACAGCGAAAGGUGCUUGCACCUUUCAAGUGAGUGGCGAACGGGUGAGUAACACGUGGAUAACCUACCUCAAGGUUGGGGAUAACAUUUGGAAACAGAUGCUAAUACCGAAUAAAACUUCGUAUCGCAUGAUACGAGGUUAAAAGGCGCUACGGCGUCACCUAGAGAUGGAUCCGCGGUGCAUUAGUUAGUUGGUGGGGUAAAGGCCUACCAAGACAAUGAUGCAUAGCCGAGUUGAGAGACUGAUCGGCCACAUUGGGACUGAGACACGGCCCAAACUCCUACGGGAGGCUGCAGUAGGGAAUCUUCCACAAUGGGCGAAAGCCUGAUGGAGCAACGCCGCGUGUGUGAUGAAGGCUUUCGGGUCGUAAAGCACUGUUGUAUGGGAAGAACAGCUAGAGUAGGGAAUGACUUUAGUUUGACGGUACCAUACCAGAAAGGGACGGCUAAAUACGUGCCAGCAGCCGCGGUAAUACGUAUGUCCCGAGCGUUAUCCGGAUUUAUUGGGCGUAAAGCGAGCGCAGACGGUUGAUUAAGUCUGAUGUGAAAGCCCGGAGCUCAACUCCGGAAAGGCAUUGGAAACUGGUCAACUUGAGUGCAGUAGAGGUAAGUGGAACUCCAUGUGUAGCGGUGGAAUGCGUAGAUAUAUGGAAGAACACCAGCGGCGAAGGCGGCUUACUGGACUGUAACUGACGUUGAGGCUCGAAAGUGUGGGUAGCAAACAGGAUUAGAUACCCUGGUAGUCCACACCGUAAACGAUGAACACUAGGGUGUUAGGAGGUUUCCGCCUCUUAGUGCCGAAGCUAACGCAUUAAGUGUUCCGCCUGGGGAGUACGACCGCAAGGUUGAAACUCAAAGGAAUUGACGGGGACCCGCACAAGCGGUGGAGCAUGUGGUUUAAUUCGAAGCAACGCGAAGAACCUUACCAGGUCUUGACAUCCUUUGAAGCUUUUAGAGAUAGAAGUGUUCUCUUCGGAGACAAAGUGACAGGUGGUGCAUGGUCGUCGUCAGCUCGUGUCGUGAGAUGUUGGGUUAAGUCCCGCAACGAGCGCAACCCUUAUUGUUAGUUGCCAGCAUUCAGAUGGGCACUCUAGCGAGACUGCCGGUGACAAACCGGAGGAAGGCGGGGACGACGUCAGAUCAUCAUGCCCCUUAUGACCUGGGCUACACACGUGCUACAAUGGCGUAUACAACGAGUUGUCAACCUGUGAAGGUGAGCUAAUCUCUUAAAGUACGUCUCAGUUCGGACUGCAGUCUGCAACUCGACUGCACGAAGUCGGAAUCGCUAGUAAUCGCGGAUCAGCACGCCGCGGUGAAUACGUUCCCGGGUCUUGCACUCACCGCC
rnacentral:rRNA from 1 species